rnacentral:lncRNA from 1 species
AUUUUUCAUUGCAAGUGGUGCAUACUAGAAAGUAAAUUUUAUUUUUUAAAUUUAGCACUUGUUUUCAUUAGCAGUCACUCAUAUGUCCCAUUAAAAUGUGGACUUAUUAUACUUAGAUGCUUCUUGUGAGAGGAUUUAUUUCAGUGUUUUCGGGAACUCAGAGUACCUGAGCAGGUGCAUUAGAAUCUGAUACGGAAGCAGUUGACCAGAGGGAUUGCUUUAAAUGCAGGCUGCCUGUCUGAGGAAUCAUCUCUGGAAUGGCUUCUGUGAAGGUAACUUGCUGUGUUUCUUCAUGUGGACAGAAUUCCCCAAAAUAGAGACAGAAGUCAGAACUGUGUGUCGAGAAAACAUUGCAAUGAUUGUGCUAAAGAGCUAAUUAUUU